rnacentral:rRNA from 1 species
CACGAAGUCGGAAUUGCUAGUAAUCGUAGGUCAGCAUACUACGGUGAAUACGUUCCCGGGCCUUGUACACACCGCCCGUCACACCAUGGGAGUCGGAAAUGCCCGAAGUCUGUGACCCAACCGCAAGGAGGGAGCAGCCGAAGGCAGGUCGGACGACUGGGGUGAAGUCGUAACAAGGUACC